GACCAGCAAAGAGCCAAACAUUCAGUUUUUAUAGAGGUGCUCACAUGUGCCCAUCAUCAGUUAAUUAAGUCCAGCUGAUUAGCAGCACCAUACUUACCCUCUUAAAUCCAACGGAAGCAGUGAAGGUGUAACUAGAUUUUCUACACACUGUUUCUGUGAUUAGCUUAAUAAAUAUUGGCACAGUGUAACAUGUUAUGUUUUGUAGUUGAUCUGAGAUUGUAUUUACCUAAUUUUAAGACCUGCAAAGGACGAGAUUAUUUUUAUUAUGUCAUCGUAAAACAAACAGAUUGAAUCAGUGCUGCAUCAGAUUCAAAAGUCACAAAGAGCAAACAGAGGGAUGACAGCAAGCCUGCCGAGGAAAGGACAAAACUGUAAAGGCUGGGCAUGAAAACUGCUGAGGAGAAGAAAGGAGUGGAACCACUGUACAAAUUUACAUAUUUACAGCCCCCACACCACUACACAGUGUGUAUGCAAGUAGGCAUUUUCAGAAACUAAGAACUAGUGACUCAUGAGUUACUGACAUUUCCAUCUCCCCAAACAGAGACAAAUUGACCCAAGUCUGCCACUAUUUUAUUAUAAGGAAAUUCAGUUGUGAGCUGAGGGACAACCAGUUCAAGUUCAAACCCUGCAAACUCUGCUCCUUUAAUUUUAUUCACUCUUGUUAACCAAAUAUUCAUUUUUGCCUGACCUAUGAAAAGCUUAAUGAGACAGACAUCUCUCCACUGUGCUGCACUGACCCAAAAGUGAAAACCCUGUCAUCCAGCAGCAGUCCUAGCUAACCACCGUCACAGUAAUGCAUAUAGAGGAGCCAGUGUGGGACAGCUGGCGCACAGAUGCACUAAGGCCAUUUGGCAAAACCCACAGUGACUGCUGCUCUGUUAUCUGCAAGUGUGACGUGUCUGUUUGUAUGUACUGCCACCACUUGACAUCUGCACUUUUUCAAUUGGAGUAAUGUACAAACACCAUGAUGCUCAGCUGAUCGCAGGGCUCUCCUCUUCUUUAGGAAAUUCUUACAUUAAAGUGUAGAUCAUGGUAGAUGCUCCCUAAUAUGUCCAGUCCAGUCACCUCAUGUUUGUUCACACAAUGCAACAACAUCUGGAGGACCAACAGCUGCAAGGUGCUACGAGAGCAUAAAGGCACCCGACAUAGCGCACAAUUCCCAGUAGAGGACAAAUGUUGCUGGACUCAAAUCCAUCUAUGCAACCAGACACAGAUUUUCCUCACGGUUUUUCUUCUGAAACUCAUCUUUCCCUACGAAUACACCAAGGCAUGUGAUGCCCUCUCUCUUACAGCCCAGCUGGAAGCGUUGGCUGCUCUGUAUUUUUCUAGUCAGCUGAAAGAAUAAGGCUAAAAGUGUCUAGCAAAAAAAGAAUAGUCUACUCACUUUUAAGCAACAUGUUAAUUUAAACUUAACCUAAUUAUAGUAAGCUCUCGCUGUGCCUUAACGAUGUGGCCCUGAUAAAGA